GAUGAACGCUAGCGGCAGGCCUAACACAUGCAAGCCGAGCGGUAGAGUUCCUUCGGGACCUUGAGAGCGGCGUACGGGGGCGUAACACGUGUGCAACCUACCUUUAUCUGGGGGAUAGCCUUUCGAAAGGAAGAUUAAUACCCCAUAAUAUAAUGAUUGGCAUCAAUUAUUAUUGAAAACUCCGGUGGAUAGAGAUGGGCACGCGCAAGAUUAGAUAGUUGGUGAGGUAACGGCUCACCAAGUCAAUGAUCUUUAGGGGUCCUGAGAGGGAGAUCCCCCACAAUGGAACUGAGACACAGACCAGACUCCUACGGGAGGCAGCAGUGUGGAAUAUUGGACAAUGGGGGAAAGCCUGAUCCAGCCAUGCCGGGUGAAGGAUGACGGUCCUAUGGAUUGUAAACUUCUUUUGUACAGGGAUAAACCUACUAUCGGGAGGGUAGCUGAAGGUACUGCAUGAAUAAGCACCGGCUAACUCCGUG
rnacentral:rRNA from 1 species